AUAGUAACACUCCUCAAACAAGGACCAAAUCUACCAUAUAUCUAUCUAUCCGAAAGAAAGAUAUAUAUAAAAGAAACUGCUAAUCAGAGCAGUAAUGUAUCCCUCUCUUAAUGCUGAAUCAGGGACUAAAUAGCUUUACUCAAGGCAAUGAGUACGUGACAGACAAAAAGUUUGAGGUAAAAGUGAGGCAUGAGGGAACAAAAAAAUAUCUUUUUUGUUUGUGGACUCUAACCUGGCGACACCAACAGAGAGACUUCACACUACACAGUAAAUAGCACAAAAAUCUGAAAACUCUCUACAGACUUUUUUAGCUUGACAAGAAUGAAAUCCAACAGAGCAAGAUUAAAAUAAAGUGCCUAAACUUAAAGAAAACUUCUAAUCUUUAUCCACAUAUUAACAAAAUUGGAGGAAAAGGGGGUAUUUUUCCAGGCAGUUAAGACUCUACUUCUCUACUACAAUCAUUAUUUUCAACUGCAACCUGUAAAUUACAAAUUUGAGACUUAUUUUUUCCUCCUUAAAUAAGCCAGACAAUAUGGAGAUAUGUUAAAACUAAUAUCUGAUAUUAUUAUAUUUUAAGUGUGAAUCUGUAGAGCGAGGAAUAAACUAGCUGUAUCCAAGCAACCUGAGUCCCUGACAAACCGAGUCUCGAUGAGACGUGUACUGUCGAGAUAUAAAAACAUGUAACUCUGUAUCUGGUAUGAAUAUGACUGGAAGAAAACCAACUCUCUGGCAUAACUGAUCUCGAAGGAGGGCUAAGCACGCACCUUAAGGCUGUGGAACCUGGUCCAAGAAUGAGCAGAAAGGGAAAACAAGAAGAUGAUUCUCCAUCUAGAGACAUAUGCCGUCUUAACAACUAAAUAAAAGGAUUAAAUUUCGAAUUGUCUUAGUAACGUGCCCUUCGACUAAACUACAUAAUAGGAAAUUGAAUAGAUAUAAAAUUGAAUUUAUCUUAGUAUAAUGUAUUUACAGUAACUUGGAAAAUUAAUCUGGAAAUUCAAAUUUCUUAUAAUCAAGAAUCAUGAAAAACAAUGGUAAUAUAUAAAAUGUUAUAGAAUGUAAACAGUACAUAAAAAAUUGUUAACU